AGAGUUUGAUCCUGGCUCAGAUUGAACGCUGGCGGCAUGCCUAACACAUGCAAGUCGGACGGCAGCGCAGCCGUGGUGACACGGUGGGCGGCGAGUGGCGGACGGGUGAGUAAUGCAUCGGAAUCUGCCCUCAAGUGGGGGAUAACCUGGGGAAACUCAGGCUAAUACCGCAUGGUGCCUUGAGGUGGGAGCCUUGAGGUGAAAGCGGGGGACCGUAAGGCCUCGCGCUUGGGGAUGAGCCGAUGUCCGAUUAGCUAGUUGGUGGGGUAAUGGCCUACCAAGGCGACGAUCGGUAGCCGGCCUGAGAGGGUGGUCGGCCACACUGGGACUGAGACACGGCCCAGACUCCUACGGGAGGCAGCAGUGGGGAAUUUUGGACAAUGGGCGAAAGCCUGAUCCAGCAAUGCCGCGUGUGUGGAGAAGGCCUUCGGGUUGUAAAGCACUUUUCCUGGGGAAGAAAUCGCUAGGGUGAACAAUCUUAGCGGAUGACGGUACCUGGGGAAUAAGCACCGGCUAACUCCGUGCCAGCAGCCGCGGUAAUACGGAGGGUGCGAGCGUUAAUCGGAAUUACUGUGCGUAAAGGGUGCGUAGGUGGCCUGCUGAGUCCGAUGUGAAAGCCCUGGGCUUAACCUGGGAAUGGCAUUGGAUACUGGUGGGCUGGAGUGUGGCAGAGGGUCGUGGAAUUCCCGGUGUAGCGGUGAAAUGCGUAGAGAUCGGGAGGAACACCCGUGGCGAAGGCGGCGACCUGGGCCAACACUGACGCUGAGGCACGAAAGCGUGGGGAGCAAACAGGAUUAGAUACCCUGGUAGUCCACGCCCUAAACGAUGCCGACUGGAUGUUGGGUGCGUUUGACGCGCUCAGUAUCGAAGCUAACGCGUGAAGUCGGCCGCCUGGGGAGUACGGUCGCAAGACUGAAACUCAAAGGAAUUGACGGGGGCCCGCACAAGCGGUGGAGUAUGUGGUUUAAUUCGAUGCAACGCGAAGAACCUUACCUGGCCUUGACAUGCCCGGAACCCUGCAGAGAUGUGGGGGUGCCCGCGAGGGAGCCGGGACACAGGUGCUGCAUGGCUGUCGUCAGCUCGUGUCGUAGAUGUUGGGUUAAGUCCCGCAACGAGCGCAACCCUUGCUCCUAGUUGCCAGCGGUUUGGCCGGGAACUCUAGGAGGACUGCCGUCGACAAGACGGAGGAAGGUGGGGACGACGUCAAGUCAUCAUGGCCCUUACGGCCAGGGCUACACACGUACUACAAUGGCCGGUACAGAGGGUUGCGAAGCCGUGAGGUGGAGCCAAUCCCAGAAAGCCGGUCUCAGUCCGGAUUGCAGUCUGCAACUCGACUGCAUGAAGUCGGAAUCGCUAGUAAUCGCAGAUCAGCAUUGCUGCGGUGAAUACGUUCCCGGGCCUUGUACACACCGCCCGUCACACCAUGGGAGUCGGCUGCACCAGAAGCAGGUGGCCUAACCGCGAGGGGGGCGCUUUCCACGGUGUGGUCGAUGACUGGGGUGAAGUCGUAACAAGGUAGCCGUAUCGGAAGGUGCGGCUGGAUCACCUCCUUA
rnacentral:rRNA from 1 species